rnacentral:tRNA from 1 species
CAAAAUGUAGCUUAUUAAUAAAGCACCCGGCCUACACCCGAGAGAUUUCAUUCAUGAUGGACAUUUUGA